CGCGCAUGCGCACCACCCGCUGCCGUCAUUGAGGCUCGCCGGCAGGAAAAGGCGGGGGGAGAAAGACGACGGAAGUCGACGUCACUGCAGUUGCCGGGUUUCUGGCCUGGAAGCCCCCUCGUCCAUCUGUAUAGAUUUCCCCUGAAAGAGGAAAGAAGGGGAUCUAAAGAUGUUGCAGUUGGAAAUGCCAAGGAGGACCAGUCCUGAAGUUGUCAGACUGUCAGCUCCCUGGGGCAGUGCUUGGAUUGAGCUUGAAACAUUCCAUGAAUGGGAAGCAGACCAGGAUGCAGCCCUCCUUGGCUGAAGUGUGCUGGAUGGCGAAAAGUACUGAUUACCAGGAUGGAAUUGCAUCUGGAACCUGGCAGGCCAAGACAACAGAAACUGUCUAAAAAGCAGAGUUCCAACUGGGACAAUAGUGAAGUGGUAAAAUGCAGGACUUACAAGGGCCAGGUUCUGAGUUUGAUCCUGGCACCACAUGUGUUACAGUAACACCUGGUUCUUUCUAUUUCAUAAAUAAAUACACUUAUUAAAGCA